rnacentral:rRNA from 1 species
UACGGAGGGGGCUAGCGUUGUUCGGAAUUACUGGGCGUAAAGCGCACGUAGGCGGCUUUGCAAGUUAGAGGUGAAAGUCCGGGGCUCAACUCCGGAAUUGCCUUUAAAACUGCAUCGCUAGAAUUGUGGAGAGGUAAGUGGAAUUCCGAGUGUAGAGGUGAAAUUCGUAGAUAUUCGGAAGAACACCAGUGGCGAAGGCGACUUACUGGACACAUAUUGACGCUGAGGUGCGAAAGCGUGGGGAGCAAACAGG